rnacentral:misc_RNA from 1 species
UAAGGAGUACGAGGAAACCGCCGAAAGAAUUUCGGCAGGUCCGGACUCCAGGUCGAUCGCCUGGCUCUUCACCACUGUUUAGUUUUCAGGGACUCACUCCCUGAAGGUUGUUCUUUGAAAACUGCACAGCGAGGAAGCGUCAUAGGGAACCCACCUAAGGAAGAUGGUCAAGCUAGUAAGGGCAUACGGUGGAUGCCUAGGCGCUAAGAGGCGAAGAAGGGCGUGGUAAGCUGCGAAAAGCCUCGGGGAGCCGCAAGCAGGCGUUGAUCCGGGGAUAC